UGUGCGAUAGGUGGAGCGUUACCGACUAGAUAUAGUCAACCUUACCUUCAUGCAAAGCUUGGGCUCUGGAACCCAACUCCUUGAGGGGGGCUGGACUCUCCAAUUCUCUGGCGUUAGCCGCGGGGAACGGCGGCAGGCUGGUGUAGAUCUGCUCAUUGCACCACAGUUCAGCUGCCGUGUGUUGGAGUUCACCCCUGUGAAUGAGAGGGUUGCGUCCCUGUGCCUUCGGGACAGGGACAGGUCUCUGUCGUGUUGGCCUAUUUGCUGAACAGCAGUGCAGAGUACCUGGCCUUAUUGGAGUCCCUACUGGGGAAAUAGACAGUGCACCGACCGGGGACUCUGUUGUUGUACUUCAGUGCUGACGUGGGCAAUGACAGUGACACCUGGAGAGGAAGGAACGGCCUCCCUGAUCUGAACCCAAGUGGUGUUCUGUUAUUGGACUUCUGUGUUAAUCACAGUUUGUCCAUAACGAGCUCAAGGGUGACAAUCUGUGCACGUGGCACCAGGACACACUCGGCCAGAGGUCGAUGAUCGACUUUGUCGUCGUGUCAUCUGACCUCCAGCAGCGUGUCUUAGACACUUGGGUGAAGAGAGGGACUGAGCUAUCAACCGAUCACUAUCUAGUGGUGAGUUGGGUCGCAAAGACCUGGCAGGCCCAAGAGUAUAGUGAGAGUCUGUUGGAAAUGUCUUGCAGAGCUCGUUGUCAGUGUCCUUGAACUCACACCUCCGGGAGAGCUUCUCCCAGAUUCUGGGGGAAGCUGGGGAAUGGGCUAUGUUCUCAGCCUCCAUUGUCAAUGUCAAUGUAGUGAUGUCAUUAUCCAGAGAAACAGGAGGACUAAAACCACACAAAGAUGGAGGAUAGCCUUAUUUUCACCGCGAAGCGCUUCCCGGAGCUUUAUGCUGUUUUUUUGGCGGAGUAUAAAGAUCGGGAUAAUAAAAGACCUUGCCUGGAAGAGGAUUAGGAGAUGGGGGUAUCUGGUAAGUUUUCACAACUUUAGAGCUAUAAAAUAUUUGCCCGCUAGGCUAGCCGUUGCACCCAGCAUAAUGAAGUUACUGCUAGUUUUUAGCUGAUGAGUUUAUGUAUUUAUUCAGUGGAUAUAUGUAAGAAAUGAUGGAAGAGCCUGAGGAAUGUGUACAUGAAGGAGAGGAGAAAGGAGAGAGAAAAGAGAAGUGGGUCAGCAGCAGGGACAGCCAAAAAGUGGCGGUUCUCUGGGGUACUGUCAUUCCUCAAUCUCUUCAUUUCCCCUUGUGAUAUGAGCAGGAAUAUGCAGCAGGUCGAGGAAGAGCAGACCUCAGGGGACCUCAAAGAGCCAGAAGAAGCAGCAACAGGGCUAUCAGAUUCAGAAGAUUUUGUUGAGUGCAAAUACUAUGAUGACGUAUGCAAAAAUAGAUAUUAAUUCAUGGCCUCAAAUUACAAUUUCAUUCCUACAGUAUGUAAUUCAUUUCCACGCUUUAGCUAAAUCGUUGUCACGUUUUACUAAAAUCAUUCCCGCGAAUUAAGAAAUUGCCACCAAAUAAACAAAACAGGGCGUGGUGUUGGGUUGAUUUGGUAAGCGCUUCUUGCUUGGCUGGACCUCAGACUUCAGACCUCUGCAGACACUAAUAAAGGUACGAUAUAUCAUUUAUAAGACAUCUUUUUUAUUUUUUUACCGAUUUUUGACAACAUGUAUUGUUACCUAUUCAAAUGUAUGCUUAUGUAAAUGUGGGCCAAUAUAAAAUCCAGGAUCAUGUAGCAGCGUGGCAUAGUGUGCAUGCUAUAGCUAAAUAAAAAUACUAGUGAGCCAAUGCUGCUUUCUUAUAGAGGAAAUAUUACGGAGUAAAGUGACGGUAAAAUUGUCCUAGUUGUUGUUUACCCUGUGUGUUCACGCAGCAAUGGAUGAUCCACCGCCUGCUUUUUUGAGGGAGCGUAACACAGAGGAGGGAGUCAUCCAGAGACUGAAGGAUGAAAAUAUCAUCUAAGACUGGAUCUCCUCUUCAGUGAGUCUGGACAUGGACAGUGGAGACAUGGACAGUGUACUUGGACCACUCGGUCUGAAUCUCAUCUUCUGGAGGAGGAAGAGCAGAAUGGGCAUGAUUGAUUCAAAGUUCUGUCCUGCAGAGUGAAAACCUAUUCAGAUCCAGACCAUGACCUGGCAAAGUACAUCCUCAAAGUUGCUGACAGAAUAUCCAUCGUCCCUUUUCUGCAGAAAAUAGGCAGCACCUCAAGUGGCAUCUUCAAGAAAAGAAACUAUACUUCAAGGCUUCAUCAAAAACUCAUCUCAAGAUGAUGCAGGACCCUCUUCUUCCUUCUCCUCUUCGUCCGCACAUGAAAGAAAAAGUCGACAAAGUGGGUGAUGGGUGCCAUGCUGUGACCUGCAGUGUGGACAAAGUAGAGGAGCACAAGGACCUAGAGCUGGACUGGGACAAUAUAGGACUGUGAAUGUCAGAGGAAGGGCCAGAGCUGCAUCUAUUGUGUGAGGAUCAAUCAGCCGUAUAGAACUGAAACACACAGGGCCUGUGUUACCUCCCGAGGCCUGCAGUUGUAAUUUGUUUUGUGUGUUUAAAAAUAUGUUUUGGCUGUCCUGGAUCCUGCUGUGGGAGCCCUGGUGGUGGUGAUUGGUGGAGCACUUUUACACCUGGCUAAUCGUGCCUCACCUCCAGCCUCCUCCCCCUAUUUAAGGAGAUUGCAGCACGUGUUCAGGGCUGCUGGUCUUGGUGGCCCGUUUGCCAUUUUGUGUUUGUGUGUGUCUAGUUUUGUUGUGUUUUGUGCCUUCUUUUAUUUGAUCACUUGAUUCUGUUUGUGGGUGGUUUGGUUUAGUUUUGUGUGUGUGUCCCUUAGUUUUACCACCCGUUUUGUGUAAGCCUGCGUAACCCCUUUUGUGGCACAAGACUCUGUUUUUUGUUUUAGUUAUUUUCAUUAGAUUAUUUUCUGUAUAUUUUAGUCUGUUUUGUUGAUUUACCUUUACA